rnacentral:lncRNA from 1 species
UUCGCUGGUUGGCGUGAGGACUGGCGGGAGAGGUUUUGUGCCAGGAUCCGCACUGUCUGGGGUGAACGCUCCUCACCUUUGACCUGAUCCGCCAACUUCCCAUCCUCCACUUUUGGAGAGCGCGCCUGAUAGCUGCUGCCCACCUGGGCACUGACUUCCUCCUUCCGACGGGGUGCGGAGAAAGCACAAAGGAAGUAGACCAAGGAGACUGAAGGUGGUUAUGAAGACUGUGCAUCUCUGAGGACAUCUUAAACAAAGAUGACCCAAACCUUUGAUCUUCAAAUAGUCGAUGUGAACUGCUUAACAAAAUGCCCUGGGAAAACUCUGUCUGAAACAAGCAGCUUGGGGGUUUGAUUUCAUUAGUUACUGGACAAGAACUGGAAUGGAGUGAAAAAUCUUCAUUCAUUUCUUGGUCAGAUGGAGAGAGGAGAAAAAAAGAAGUGGGUUUCCAUUCACUUCCAUUUUCUAACUGAUCAUUAGUUAGAGAACCUUUGGAAAGGUUUAGCUCAGUUUUUUCUUCCAACUUAUCAGGUUCCUCAAGAAAUUCACUGCCUUGAGAUGACUUUGAUAACCCAUCCAAAUCCAGUGACUUAAAACCGUUAUUACAAGGGCUCUUGCUGUUGUCUGACUCUGACAUCAUUGAAUCCAACUCAGAGAUUUUGUCAAGGUAAGCAGCAUCCAUCGAUGCUUCACUGGAUGUUCUUGUCCGGUUCAUUUCAAAAGAGCGAAUAGAAUUCAACCUUUUGGAUAAACAUAAGCCUGAUUUCUCACUCAAUUUUGAAGAUAUUUCUCCAACAGAAUUUGCUAUCGUGUUCCCCUCUGAACUUUCAAAAUCUAAGUUUUGGGCAUAGCUUGUGGAACAACAGUCCCAAAAUCCUGUCUUUGGGGAAGAAAAACAUUCUGAUUUCUUUUCAUUUUCACUUCUACUUAUAUCAUCUUCUGAAGAAUCUUUAUUAGAAACAUUUGAAGAAUCACAAAAAUCAUCAAACACCAAUUUUCUGAGAUGGUUUGAGUGCUUUUUGGAACCUCCUGCUUGGACCACAGAGCUCUCUCUAUUUUCUGGAGUACUGAGCUGAAGGCAACUAAGGGACAAAGGAGUACAAGGAGCUGGAAGAUCAUAAAGUUCUUCAUCUUUGUAGGGUACACAGUCACUUGGUUUAUUCCCCCAUUCUCUUUCCAAAUAAGUAUCCAUACUUGUAUCUGUCACAUCUAACAUUACUUCUACCUGUUCUUGAUAUAGGUCUUUGUUCUUAGAACAGUUAAGGUCUGCUUUGCUGGUACUUUCCUGCCUUGCAGAACUGGUGUCACACAGUCUGCUGCUGGAAGGCUUUGCUAGGUGAGAAGAACUGGAGGUGGAUGAGCCAGGCUGCUUUCUGGCACUAUCGCCUUGAUUCUUUGACGCCACAUCCUCCUCACUGCCUUUGCUCCCUUUGCCAUCUGCAGAAAGUGCUGUCUUGCAAAUGGAAUUCAUAGCUUCUUUCUCUUCACUUGAAUUUUUUAGCUGUGCAACUUGAGAUUCCAGUUCCUCUAUAUACUUAUCACUUCGUUCCAGGGCUUUCUUGAGGCGAUUGGUUUCACGCUCAUACUGUUCUACUUUGGACUGAAGAGCAGCAACUGCAAACCUUCCAAACCUACAAAGAAUGGAAAGAUAGUUAAUCUUAUAACUCAAGCUUUUUUCUUUUCAAGGUUUGAGAGUGCAAACUGUCCCAGGCUAUUCUAAUUUCACCUAACAGUGACAUUUCAGACCACUCAAUGAGUAGGGCAAAUGCCAGAUGUAUAUUUUCAAAAAAUGGUUUCCCC